GGUCGCGACCAUACCACGUUGGAAACACCGGUUCUCGUCUGAUCACCGAAGUAUAGGAACAUCGGGUGCGGUUAGUACUUGCAUGGAUGACCGGUUGGUAAUGCCGGGUGUUGACGCCG
rnacentral:rRNA from 1 species